UGGAUGAGGACAAGGAAGAGGAGUAUGAUACAAGUAUGUAUCAUUUUAGUGAGCAUGUAGCUCCAGCGAGGGAGAGUAAGAGUUUGAGUGAAGCUUACAGAAACCCAAGCCUGUUGUAGAAGUGGUGCAAGAAGCAGGAUAAGUUCAUCUCGAAAUGCAUAACGAGUAUCAAGUCUUUGAAGGCUAUGGUUAGCUGCUCCUCUUCCAGCACAGCAAUACCG
rnacentral:pre_miRNA from 1 species